rnacentral:rRNA from 1 species
UACGUAGGGUGCAAGCGUUGUCCGGAAUUAUUGGGCGUAAAGAGCUCGUAGGCGGUUUGUCGCGUCUGCUGUGAAAACUCGGGGCUUAACUCCGGGCCUGCAGUGGGUACGGGCAGACUAGAGUGCGGUAGGGGAGACUGGAAUUUACGGUGUAGCAGUGAAAUGCGUAGAGAUCGUAAGGAAGACCAGUGGCGAAGGCGGGUCUCUGGACAGUUCCUGACACUGAGGCACGAAGGCCAGGGGAGCAAACGGG